rnacentral:rRNA from 1 species
GGGGGGAACCCUGAUCCAGCCAUGCCGCGUGUGUGAAGAAGGCCUUUUGGUUGUAAAGCACUUUAAGCGAGGAGGAGGCUACUGGUAUUAAUACUACCGGAUAGUGGACGUUACUCGCAGAAUAAGCACCGGCUAACUCUGUGCCAGCAGCCGCGGUAAUACAGAGGGUGCGAGCGUUAAUCGGAUUUACUGGGCGUAAAGCGUGCGUAGGCGGCUUUUUAAGUCGGACGUGAAAUCCCUGAGCUUAACUUAGGAAUUGCAUUCGAUACUGGGAGGCUAGAGUAUGGGAGAGGAUGGUAGAAUUCCAGGUGUAGCGGUGAAAUGCGUAGAGAUCUGGAGGAAUACCGAUGGCGAAGGCAGCCAUCUGGCCUAAUACUGACGCUGAGGUACGAAAGCAUGGGGAGCAAACAGGAUUAGAUACCCUGGUAGUCCAUGCCGUAAACGAUGUCUACUAGCCGUUGGGGCCUUUGAGGCUUUAGUGGCGCAGCUAACGCGAUAAGUAGACCGCCUGGGGAGU